rnacentral:rRNA from 1 species
CCUGAGAAACCCAAAAGAUCGAAUGGGGAGAUUCAUCGUCAGCGGCUCCGGUGCGUGUGUGGUUCGGGAUUUCGCGGCGCCUUCUCGGCCUCGCGCGACUCGUCCGCAUUGUUUUUUUAUGCCGGAGCUCGUCGACGUGCACUUCUCCCCUAGUAGGACGUCGCGACCCGUUGGGUGUCGGUCUACGACCCGGGUGGGAGUCUGUCGUGCGUCGCGCUUCACGGCGCGUCAUGCGGCAGACCCCCGGAUGUCUGACCGGCUGCCCGGCGGUACUCGCACGGUAUCGGGCCGCAAUCUUUGAACUGCGUCCGGCCCGUCGCAAGCGAGGACAAGUGUUUCUCGGACGUACGGACCUCGUGCCGUCGCCGGGCCUGUCCAGCUGUUGGUCGACGGUGCUCUCGGACUGGCUCUUGAACGAUAUACCGGUCGGCGACGCUACUGCUUUG